CUUUGGGAGGUCGAGCCUGCCCACUGAUGAAUUAAAGGGCCGUGGUAUACUGACCAUGCGAAGGUAGCAUAAUCAUUAGCCUUUUGAUUUGAGGCUGGAAUGAAUGGUUUGACGAGAGAUGGUCUGUCUCUUCGAUUAAAUUGAAGUUAAUCUUUAAGUGAAAAAGCUUAAAUGUACUUGGAGGGCGAUAAGACCCUAUAGAUCUUUACAUUUAAUUCUUUUGUCUUGCGGUAGGUAAUUAGACAGAGUAAAACAAUGUUCGGUUGGGGCGACGGUAAGAACAGAAUAAACACUUACAACAUAAACACAUCAAUAAAUGACCAUUGAUCCUUAGAUGAAUAAAGACCAAGUUACCUUAGGGAUAACAGCGUAAUUCUUUUUGAGAGUUCAAAUCGACAAAAGAGUUUGCGACCUCGAUGUUGGUUCAGGGACCCUACUCGGUGCAGCAGCCUAGAGAGGCAGUCUGUUCGACUGUUAAACCCCUACGUGAUCUGAGUUC
rnacentral:rRNA from 1 species